UUGCCACUACCAUAACACAAUAGUAAAAUACACAAUGGUGUCUCUGCAUUAGGGACAAAUGGGGCAAUAAUCCUGGUUUAAUUUCCUCCCACCAGUUGACUGCUUGCUCCCUUGUGCUCAAGACUCUGAGUCAAUCGCCUUAAAGCAACUUUAAACCACGGUUGGUGUCAUUUUUGGCCAAGCCCCUAAUGAUUUUUACAAUAAGAGAGUGAAAAAGCCUGAAGGCUAUGUCAAGAACUAUGACCAGGA